GAUCUACACAUCUUCCCCAACUCCUGGGGAACGGCGACGCCUCUAACCCUGUAGUCUGAGUAAAUCAACAACAGCAGGACAUGGGGAGGGGCAGAGAAGUCAAGCAGGGACGUUUGUAGGGUGGGAGGGGAAAGAGGCUUUGCCUCAGUAGCUCUUCUCAACCCCAGCUGCCGUGAGUCUGAUUCAACUGAUGGGGCAUCGGUGGUUGUUCAGCCUCCCCAGGUGAACUCGAAGUGGAGCAAAAGGUGACAGUCACAGCUUAGUAGUUUCCAUACCUUCCACCCCACUGCUCCCCAGAGAGAAAUGUGACAAUGAGCUUCAGCUCUGUCGAAUCCGGACUACAUGGAACCUCUCUGGGUUGGCUUCUCAACCGAUUUCAGAGUUGUGAGCUGAGAAAGAACAGCAGGAGAGAGGCCACAGUUAUUCAGGGGACUCCUGCCUUGCUGGGGGCUUCCGCAGCCCCUGACCAACCAUCCUGGUGUCACUGCUGAGACAGCAGCCUGAACAAGGGCAAUGGGACCCCAGAGACUGCAUCUGUACAGGCGGAGCCCCAGGGCUUUAGACCCUUUGCUCCAGUGAUCUUAGAGCCAUAAUAUUAUCAUCCAAAAUGAUGAGAGAGUAAGUGGCAAGCAUACCUAGACAUCUUCUGAGCCCAGCAGACAGAAUUUUGGUUUAAGGAGAACCUGGGUAGUAUAAUGACACAUAAUAUUUUUUUAUAUAUAGGCAUCACAGUCUAUGAAUUGUACUGAUUCAUCUCAUCUCAAGAAGAUGGUAUUUUAGAUGUAUGUGUAUAUAUUUGAAGCCAAAACUGUUUAUUUUGUGUAAUUUUUUGUGCCUAUUAGUUUCUGAAUAUCUGUGCAUAAAAGCUUCUGUUUCUCUGCCUGCACACAUUUGUGGGUACACACUAUACACCUAUGUGGGGUAGGAGGGGGGAAUGGGCAUAUUUGUUUGCAUUUACCUUGUGUUUGGUCCUAGGAAGGGAUCUUGGUGAUCAUUCCAGCCCAGCUCUUUCACCUCAAUGGUGAAGAAACUGAGGUCCAGAAAGGCAAGGUGACUUGUCACAGGUAACACAGCUGGCUAUGGAGACAGAGGUGACACAAGAACCUAGGAUUUCUGAUUUGUAGAUGAGAACUCUUUCUAUAAUAUUAAAAUCAAUUAUAAAUUUUGGGGAGGGAAGCAGGGAGAUCCUUGUUUUUUCCUCCCCCAACUGAUAAGUAAGUACUAAGAAGGUCAAUCUUGAAUUAGCUAUAUAAUACCAAAAGUUAAGUUUUUCACACAGACCUGGUUCAGUAUUGAUUCCUUUUAUGAAAACCCUGUUUAUACUCAAGUUGUCAAAGAAUUCCAGAGGGCAUAUGAAGCCAUUGUUAAAAUAAUUUUAUGCCUUUGUUUUUGAAGAAAAGUAUCCAAAAUAUAUAAGCUUAUUGUUUGAGUUAAACAAUAAAAACAUCUGCUGUUUCUCAGGAUGGCUCUAGUCUUAAUAUAACAUGGCAAAAUAAUACCCCCUAAAUAUCCAUGAUUAACCUGAAUUGGAGAGGGCUCAGCUCCCAGUGACUUCAUAUAGCUGCUUCAACUGGCAUUGUUUAAAAAAAACAAAAACAAAAGCACAAAAGCCAAAAUACAGACAGAUCAUCACCCAGCAUUCUGAUGCAAGAAAAUAUUAAAACUGAUCACUGCUUUUAAAUGGGUAGUGUGUCCCUACUAGAAAGGAAUCCCACAAAUUUGAGGCUUAAAAAAAUGGAGCAUAUGCAUAGGUGCCAAUGCAGAAUUUCUGGAUUGGGUUCAAAUCACAUUGAAGCACAGGUGUGCCUGUCAUUAGGUGUUUAUGUUUAC
rnacentral:lncRNA from 1 species